AACAAAUUUAACCUUGAAUUCACCCAUUGAAAAGGUUGUCAUUUGUAUGAUGAUAUCUUUUUCAAUGUGUGAUUUUUAGUUUUUCUGGAAAAAACAUGUUAAUAUACUUUUGGAGGUAAUCAAUUAUGGAACAAGGUACAGUAAAAUGGUUUAACGCAGAGAAAGGCUUCGGUUUUAUCGAAGUUGAAGGCGGCAAUGACGUAUUCGUACAUUUCUCCGCAAUCCAAGGCGACGGUUUCAAAUCACUUGACGAAGGUCAACGCGUUGAGUUCAACGUAACUCAAGGCAACCGUGGACCACAAGCAGAAAACGUUGUAAAACUAUAGUAUCAAAUCAAAACCCCUUAACUUCGGUUAAGGGGUUUUUU
rnacentral:sRNA from 1 species